GCCUAGGCAUCUUGGGCAGGUGACUGAACACUGGAGCCAGUGUCCCUGGGAGAUAGGGAAGUCCCUCCCCAUGAAGGGACCUAGGUUCUUUGUAUCCUCUCCUGUAGUCCUGGGCCAAUAACUGACUGCUUUAUGGAAAACACACACACACAAAACAAACAAACAAACAAAGAAACCACCUUGCAUUCAUGCCCCAAGACUGAGCAGACCCUGUGGUACAGUUUAUUCCCCAGAGGCCCCAUGGGAUCAAGCUGAAGCCCAGCUGCAUCGGAGACCACAUCCUUUUUCAUUUUUCUUUCCUCCCUUCCCAAUAUGGCUCCCACCGACCCCUACAUGUUUCUUGUGAGUGCACUCCAUUGAUAAAUGUCUUGCACAAACAUCCCCUUCUCAGGUUCUGCUCCAGGGAACUGUACCCAAGACACUACCAGCAUCUGUCCCUCAAUGCCACACACCUGUCAUCCCACACAUCAAAAGGAAUCCCACGUAAUAGGAUACAAGCACAACUGCAAACACACUCACUGCCCCCGCCCCCUCCAACAAGGAGACAAAUGAAAAGUCCAUCACUCAUCCAGAGAAGACUUUUUAGAGCCACUGUUCUUGGAGCCUGUUACCUCUGGUCCAGCCUGGGUGACAAGUGAAACUCCAUCUCAGAAAAAAAAAAUUGAUAAAGGAGGAAGGCUGAACAAAUCACCAAGAUCAUGUCGCAGAAACUGUUUGGAAACAGGCAAGGUGGAGGACUUCAGUGGAAGAAGGAAGGAACCCAGGCCCACCGGCAGCCCGGAGAAACUGCAACUGUAGCAGCAUUCCUUCCCCCCAGGAAUGUGACAAAGAUGAGCACCAUUCCAACACCUGUUGCUGAGGCACUUUCCAGGGGUCUAGCUGUGGAGGCCCCUACUCUUCUCUAGAGCAGGCACUUCAAUCUUCAGGCCAAAACUAAAAUGUCUGCAUGACCACACUGCCAGGUUGCCCAAGAUUGGCUGACUUUGUAUGCAUCCUGAUUAAAAAUGGCAUCUUGCUCUC
rnacentral:lncRNA from 1 species